CUGGUUGAUCCUGCCAGACCCGACUGCUAUCGGAUUGGGACUAAGCCAUGCGAGUCAACUCCGCAAGGGGUGGCGCACGGCUCAGUAACACGUAGUCAACCUACCCUGGGGACGGGGAUAACCUCGGGAAACUGAGGCUAAACCCCGAUGGGCCAUGGCUCCUGGAAUGGGCUAUGGCUGAAAUCUACAUGGCCCCAGGAUGGGACUGCGGCCGAUCAGGUUGUUGGUGGGGUAAUGGCCCACCAAGCCUAUAACCGGUGCGGGCUCUGAGAGGAGGAGCCCGGAGAUGGGCACUGAGACAAGGGCCCAGGUCCUAUGGGGCGCAGCAGGCGCGAAACCUCCGCAAUGGGCGAAAGCCCGACGGGGUCAGUCCGAGUGGUUCCCGCUGAGGGAACCUUUUGCCAGCUGUAAACAGGCUGGCGAAUAAGGGGUGGGCAAGUUUGGUGUCAGCCGCCGCGGUAAUACCAGCACCCCGAGUGGUCGGGACGAUUAUUGGGCCUAAAGCAUCCGUAGCCGGCCCAGUAAGUCCUCCGUUAAAUCCAACGGCUCAAACGUUGGGCUGCGGGGGAUACUGCUGGGCUAGGGGACGGGAGAGGCGAGGGGUAUUCCCGGGGUAGGGGUAAAAUCCACUGAUCCCGGGAGGACCACCAGUGGCGAAGGCGCCUCGCUAGAACGUGCCCGACGGUGAGGGAUGAAAGCUGGGGGAGCGAACCGGAUUAGAUACCCGGGUAGUCCCAGCCGUAAACGAUGUAGGCUCGGUGUUGGGCUGCCUCAGUGGCAGCCCAGUGCCGCAGGGAAGCCGUUAAGCCUACCGCCUGGGGAGUACGGCCGCAAGGCUGAAACUUAAAGGAAUUGGCGGGGGAGCACCAC
rnacentral:rRNA from 1 species